rnacentral:lncRNA from 1 species
AAAAAGAUUUACCAGUCGCAAUGUGCGGAUUAUGCCCCUAGAUUCAAUCUAACAUAUACAUUGUUGCGUUCGAUAAAACUAACUUCCAAAUAAACAACGACCUCGCGUUCCGGCAUAAAAUUUAAAAUUAAAUGUUCUGUAUAUGUCACUUCUGACCAAGCACACAUUGAAGAUCCAGCAAGAAUUCCGAAGAGAAGGAAACGAGCUUCAGUGAUGGAGUCACCAUUCAAACCAGAUAUACUGAGAGACAAGGUGGCNNN